UCUAAAAGAAAAUGGGAAACGGCUAGAGAAGGAAUCGUGGCUUGGGCAGUGUAGACGGGUGACACUCCUUGCCCCGUCUCCGUGAAGACGGUGUUAUACGUGCAGCGUGCUGAAUCCCCUGCGUGAUUGUACAGCGGGUUGGUGUGUCUUGAAAGUAUUUCGUGGCAGAAUGAUUCAUAUAGGAGCAGCGCCCCCGCCUCCCACCACCAUCAUAGUGAAUGCGGCAGCACCCAAACGCAAGAGACCACUCGGAAACUGCCCAAAUUGUAAGAAAGCUAACUUGGAGAAAAAGUGUCCUCCCAUCCUGUGCACCCUUGUGUUGUGUAUGACCUGCGUCGGCAUCCUGUGUAUCCCGCUCUUCGCAAGAAUGGUGUGCCCGAAAUGCAAUUAUUCGAAAUGAGAAUGCUUCUAAUUAGUGUCGCUGAAAAGUACAAUUGUAUAUAUUUUUUAUUGAUAAUUAAAAGGGUAAUGAUACUUUAAGGAUAAACGGAUAGUCAUAAUUUAAGGAUGUAAGGGUGUCGGAAGGCACGAACCCAUAGUAACAGAAUACGGAAUGUUGCUUAUGGCGUAAUGGAGUGGUGCCCCAAAUGUUACUACUGAGUGGAAUGUUUGUUUACUACUGAGUGGAGUGGAGUGUUUUUGAUCCAUAUAUAUAGCCCUUACAAUCUAAAACUUCAUUAUUUUUACGUUAGUUUUUAUAAUUGGUUGCUGUUUUUAUAAUGUUUAUUUCUAAGUGGAAUGUUGGAAAGCUUUUACUUUGGUAUUUAUUAUUCGUUCUCUAUUUUGCCGAGAGCAAAAAAUAUUAUUCUGUAACUGAAGGUUUCAUUGCUUUGCCAUGAGAGCAUGAAAAUUAUAUUCUUUAACUAAAGGUUUCAGUAACUGAAAUCAACCGGGUUUUAUUCCAAAUUUCUUUUGAUAAAGGUAUUUCGUAUUAUGGGGUGUUUGUGACGGCGUACCCACCCCUUGUUUGGGAGGACUGCAGGUGAGCGAGCGAGUGAACUAGUUACCGCGAUGAGGUUUUUAAAGUUUUUUAUAUUUAUGUGUGUGUACUGCAACCAUCGUAUGCCAGUAACUACCAAACCUCACAGUCACAGUAGUUGCCAGUGGUCACGACCCAGCCUACCUAGUUCUUUAAAUGAGUGGUCUCUUUUAGUGAUGCUGUUAAUAUUAUGUAGGUGAUCGUGCUGGAAAUGUUGAUGCUAAUAGUGACUGUGAUGGUGAUAAAGCUAGUGGUGGUGAUAUAGGUGAUGAUGAUGAUAGUGAUGGUGGUGGUAGUAAGACAAGUGGUGAUGCUGUUGGUAUAUUGGUGAUUGUGAUAAUGGUGAUGGUAAUGAGGCAAGGAUAGGUGAUGAUGAAGCAAACACAGGUGACGGUCAUGCAAAAAAGAGGCGAAGCGAAGACACACAAUGGUGAUGAAGCAAAAACAAAUGGGACAGAUAAUGGUGAUGAAACAAGGAAAGAUGAUGGUGAGGCAAGAACAUGUGAUGGUAGCGAAGGAUGAUGAUUGCAAUACUGAAUGAGGUGGUGAGGUAUGAACGGAAAAUUAAAACGAGCAAGGAAAGAUGGUGAUAAGGAAGCAAGAUCAACUGGUAAGGGAGACGUGUGACAGUGAAGAAGCAUGGUGGUAAAACAAAGAUAAGGUGGUGAUGGUGAGACAAGGAAGACGAUGAUGGCAAAGUGAUGAUGGUGAAGCAAGGACAAUGGUGAAGCAAGGAUAUAUCAUGGUGAUGAGAGAGGAAGUCUGUAGUGGUGUUUACUGUUUGGCUUGGCACAUGACCGUGGUGGUGACGGUCUUACCACGUAAUAGCCAGCAGGCAUACCAACACCCUGACCUGCAGUGCCCGUGGUUAAUCACGAUUGCUUGCACACACUGUAAGGUAUUGUGUAGUGAUGGUAUUUGAGACUCCUAACUCAUUGUCUUAUGCCUCGCUGCACCAUCGCCAUCACCAUAAGACGCACUACGUAAGCUGCCGAUUAAGCUACUCAAGAAAAAUGGAAACACUUUGAGUGGACAAUUAUGAUUACGUAAAAUUAACGUGGUCUUAAUGAAAUGAUAGGUAACGGAGGUGUUUCCUGGUAACGCGGGUCACACGAAGCAUCAGCGCCUGAAUACCAGUCCAUUAGUUCAACACUUCGCAUCCUGCUCCACCAGUUCAUCAGAAUCAAUAAUGCGAUGGAUGCCUCACAUUACUACCAGAGCUGGGAGAUGGAUGUGCUUGCUUACACCUCCACACUCAGUGCCAUCUGAGAAAGCUCAGACCUCACUGAGGAAGCAUCAGUGUUUGAGGUUUUUCCUAAUUGCUGGGUUGGGUGUGGCACGUCCAGGAGGUGUCAGGUGGCCCUUCAUCACGUCAUCCUGCUGUUGAAGUUCAACUGGAUCACGAGCUGGAGGAAAUAUUUGUGCCUACAUCUUAUCCUGGUGGGUUUUUCCUUUUUUUCUCUCUUCUAAGGGAAUGAUGUGAGACUCAAUUAAAUUUAUUUAUCUCUUACUACUUCAACUGCUU